rnacentral:sRNA from 1 species
GGCGAACUCGUGCUUUAUUCCCUGGCCAGCUCCUGCGCGCUGUCGGCAGGCGGUUGAGUCCCCAGGGACGGAGGGGCUCCCCAGCCCUUCUCCCUUGCGAGAAGGAGAGCCCACGCCAGGCGCAGCCCUCUCACACUUAGGUUCUUGGUCCCCGAGUGAAUUUUCCCCUGCAUUUUGUGGCCUUGUGUGGAAUAAAUGAACCAUCAUGCGCACAGGCUGUGGGAAAACAUUCAAGAAGCAACAGAAUGUAAAGCAGCCUUUGGAAUGGUGUAUUUAAUUAUGGCAUCCAGUGUGUGUAAGCACUGGGUUCCCACAUUGCUUUACAUAAAUAGGAGAACACAGUGGAGAUUUUCAGCUGAACUCUCAUCUCUCAACACUGGCAAAUAUUCAUAAGAUCUACCACACCCUUAAUAAGCUGAACCUAACAGAAGACAUUGGCCAAGACGAUCACCAAACAGGAAGUCUGCGGUCUUGCAGUUCUUCAGACUGCUUUAAUAAAGUGAUGCCACCAAGGAAAAAGAGAAGACCUGCCUCUGGAGAUGAUUUAUCUGCCAA